CCAAUAGCGUAUAUUAAAGUUGUUGCAGUUAAAAAGCUCGUAGUUGAAUUUUGGAUUCUUCCAAUUGGUCCAUCUUUUAGAUGAGUACUGGUUGUGUGGGGUCUAUCCGCCUGGUGAUACGUAAUGUCCUUUAUUGGAUGUUGCGGGUAGUCAGGACCUUUACCUUGAAAAAAUUAGAGUGUUUAAAGCAGGCUUAUGCCGGAAUACAUUAGCAUGGAAUAAUAGAAUAGGACGAAGUUGUUUUAUUUUGUUGGUUUCUAGGACAACCGUAAUGAUUAAUAGUGAUAGUUGGGGGCAUUAGUAUUCAAUUGUCAGAGGUGAAAUUCUUGGAUUUAUUGAAGACUAACUACUGCGAAAGCAUUUGCCAAGGAUGUUUUCAUUAAUCAAGAACGAAAGUUAGGGGAUCGAAGACGAUCAGAUACCGUCGUAGUCUUAACCAUAAACUAUGCCGACUAGGGAUCGGGCGAUGUUGUUUCCAUGACUCGCUCGGCACCUUAUG
rnacentral:rRNA from 1 species